rnacentral:rRNA from 1 species
AACAAACGCUGGCGGCGUGCCUAAUACAUGCAAGUCGAACGGGGAAAGCUUUCGGGUGAGUACUAGUGGCGCACGGGUGAGGAACGCGUGGAUAAUCUGCCUUAGAGUGGGGGAUAACUAGUCGAAAGAUUAGCUAAUACCGCAUAAGACCACAGGAGCUGCGGCUCAAGGGGUCAAAGGUUUUUCGCUCUAAGAUGAGUCCGCGUAAGAUUAGCUAGUUGGUGAGGUAACGGCUUACCAAGGCGACGAUCUUUAACUGGUCUGAGAGGAUGAGCAGUCACACUGGAACUGAGACACGGUCCAGACUCCUACGGGAGGCAGCGGUAGGGAAUAUUGCACAAGGGAGGAAACUCUGAUGCAGCGACGCCGCGUGAGUGAUGAAGGCCUUCGGGUCGUAAAGCUCUGUCGCAGGGGAAUAACACAAUGAAUGUACCCUGUAAGAAAGGAUCGGCUAACUUCGUGCCAGCCGCCGCCGUAAGAC